UACAGAGGGUGCAAGCGUUGUCCGGAAUUAUUGGGCGUAAAGAGCUUGUAGGUGGUUUGUCGCGUCUGCUGUGAAAAUCCGGGGCUCAACCCCGGACUUGCAGUGGGUACGGGCAGACUAGAGUGUGGUAGGGGAGACUGGAAUUCCUGGUGUAGCGGUGAAAUGCGCAGAUAUCAGGAGGAACACCGAUGGCGAAGGCAGGUCUCUGGGCCAUUACUGACACUGAGAAGCGAAAGCAUGGGGAGCGAACAGG
rnacentral:rRNA from 1 species